GGGGAAUAUUGCACAAUGGGCGGAAGCCUGAUGCAGCAACGCCGCGUGCGGGAUGACGGCCUUCGGGUUGUAAACCGCUUUCACCCAUGACGACGUUUGUUUGACGGUAGUGGGAGAAGAAGCACCGGCUAACUACGUGCCAGCAGCCGCGGUGAUACGUAGGGUGCGAGCGUUGUCCGGAUUUAUUGGGCGUAAUGAGCUUGUAGGCGGUUGGUCACGUCGGGAGUGAAAACUCGGGGCUUAACUCCGAGCUUGCUUUCGAUACGGGCUGAAUUGAGGUAAGUAGGGGAGAAUGGAAUUACUGGUGAAGCGGUGGAAUGCGUAGAUAUCAGGAGGAACACCGGUGGCGAAGGCGGUUCUCUGGACUUUUCCUGACGCUGAGAAGCGAAAGCGUGGGGAGCAAACAG
rnacentral:rRNA from 1 species